ACGGAGGGUGCAAGCGUUAAUCGGAAUUACUGGGCGUAAAGCGUGCGCAGGCGGUCAGAUAAGUCCGAUGUGAAAUCCCCGGGCUCAACCUGGGAACUGCAUUUGAGACUGCCUGACUAGAGUGUUGCAGAGGGGGGUAGAAUUCCACGUGUAGCGGUGAAAUGCGUAGAGAUGUGGAGGAAUACCGAUGGCGAAGGCAGCCCCCUGGAAUAACACUGACGCUCAUGCGCGAAAGCGUGGGGAGCAAACAG
rnacentral:rRNA from 1 species